rnacentral:snRNA from 1 species
GUGCUUGCUUUGGCAGCACGUAUACUAAAAUUAUAACGAUACAGAGAAGAUUAGCGUGGCCCCUGCGCAAGGAUGACAUGCAAAUUUGUGAAGCGUUCCAUAUUUUG